AUUGAACGCUGGCGGCAGGCCUAACACAUGCCAGUCGAGCGGAUGAAGGGAGUUUGCUCCUGGAUUCAGCGGCGGACGGGUGAGUAAUGCCUAGGAAUCUGCCUGGUAGUGGGGGAUAACGUCCGGAAACGGGCGCUAAUACCGCAUACGUCCUGAGGGAGAAAGUGGGGGAUCUUCGGACCUCACGCUAUCAGAUGAGCCUAGGUCGGAUUAGCUAGUUGGUGGGGUAAAGGCCUACCAAGGCGACGAUCCGUAACUGGUCUGAGAGGAUGAUCAGUCACACUGGAACUGAGACACGGUCCAGACUCCUACGGGAGGCAGCAGUGGGGAAUAUUGGACAAUGGGCGAAAGCCUGAUCCAGCCAUGCCGCGUGUGUGAAGAAGGUCUUCGGAUUGUAAAGCACUUUAAGUUGGGAGGAAGGGCAGUAAGUUAAUACCUUGCUGUUCUGACGUUACCAACAGAAUAAGCACCGGCUAACUUCGUG
rnacentral:rRNA from 1 species